rnacentral:rRNA from 1 species
GACGUAGGGCGCGAGCGUUGUCCGGAUUUAUUGGGCGUAAAGAGCUCGUAGGCGGUUUGUCGCGUCUGCCGUGAAAGUCCGGGGCUCAACUCCGGAUCUGCGGUGGGUACGGGCAGACUAGAGUGAUGUAGGGGAGACUGGAAUUCCUGGUGUAGCGGUGAAAUGCGCAGAUAUCAGGAGGAACACCGAUGGCGAAGGCAGGUCUCUGGGCAUUAACUGACGCUGAGGAGCG